UACAGAGGGGGCAAGCGUUGUUCGGAAUUACUGGGCGUAAAGGGCGCGUAGGCCGCCUGUUAAGUCGAACGUGAAAUCCCCGGGCUCAACCCGGGAACUGCGUCCGAUACUGGCAGGCUUGAAUCCGGGAGAGGGAUGCGGAAUUCCAGGUGUAGCGGUGAAAUGCGUAGAUAUCUGGAGGAACACCGGUGGCGAAGGCGGCAUCCUGGACCGGCAUUGACGCUGAGGCGCGAAAGCCAGGGGAGCAAACGGG
rnacentral:rRNA from 1 species